AUGGAUUCCUUCUCCAAACAGUACAAGAGCUACUCCCACUCUGCCUCCGACCUCCCUCCUCCCCCACAUGGCGAGUGUACUGCUCCCUACAACGCCCAUACCAUUCUUUCUCCCCUGGAUGCAUCUGGUCUCUCUUCAAUUACCGGUCAGCACCAAUGCUGCGAACAAAAAAAGGGCCCUGUGAUAGGGCAUCCAUCUCUUUUCAUCAAAGUCGCCGUCGUCCAUCUGCGUCGAGGCCACCCUGCCAGUUUUCAGAAAUCCUUCAGGAAAAAAAGAAAAAGAAAAAUGGAGCAGGAGUCAGAGGCCUCAAGCCCUCUCUCCACUUCGUGGCUUCUUGUUCUCAAAGCACAAGCUGCUCUUGCUACUAUUAGUAAACUACUUCUGCUCACUAUAAUGGCUGAGGGGCGUUGCCCAACUACGUGGAUGCUCGCCUGCUCACCGAGCGUCGCUGUAGUCCACCCCGAAGCCGUCAGCAGGAGGAGGUUGCACCAGUCCCGCCUCUCCUUCGUCCAGUGCUCCAAGAGGCCAGGGCAGAAAAAUCGGUCAUCUUCUGAUGAGCCCUGCCCCAACAGGAACCUCUCUCUACCUCUCUCAGCUACUAAUGGACACUAUAGUGUGAAGUUGAUGUAG
rnacentral:rRNA from 1 species